UGGAGCCAGUACAACGGUCACAGUGAGGGGGAAAUGUUUCCAUGCAUUCAAAAGGCUGUCAGAUAUGAUUUUCUCUUAGGGCCUACACUUAAUUAUUUCUGAUGUCCAUACAAUACACUUUCUGUAAACAAUAAGAGCUACAGUAAAUCAGUGAGUCUUAGUUUACAAGGUGCCCCGUUUCCUGAUUGUGAGAUAACACACAGUGUAGAUGUGGACGUGCCGGAUUGGUCAAGUGGCGUCUCUUCUUUUCCUGAACUUAAUUUUUGCUGUGGGACUGCGGGGCUACUUGGUGUUGUCCAUCCGAAGAGCGGAUUUCAUGCUGUGAAGUGAUCUUGAUCUCUGGCUGGAUUAAAGCGGUCUUCUGUGUAUGGCAACGAGUGUGUGUGUGUCUCCACGUUAUACGUGGACGUGUAUAUAACCGUGCUUAUUUGCCGAAGCAAAGACGAUUCACUGCAACGUGCAGUGUUGAACCUGAGACUUUUCUGCGCUUGGGUUCUCGCACAACUCCAGAUUUACUGUAUCCCAAAUUAAAGUGCAUCCUUUCCUGUCUAUUCUUGUCACGUGUCGACUCUGCGUGCUAAGUUACCAUAAUGAUAUUCAGUAUUUGUUUUGUCUGCCUCUGUACACAGGAACAGCUCACCCCUCAAACACAACCAGAAACCUCAGCUGAUGAUUGACAGCCGAGGCAGCAGGCUUGGCCUGUCAGACAGUGACGGAAAAAAGAGGGAGAGAGAGAGCGAACUGCUGUACUUUCUGCUGACUGAAGACUCGCACCGCCUCCAUUACUGCGCGCCACCACCAUAAAGGGGAGUGCCGGCAGUGCAGAGGAAGAAAAGAGGGAGAUUGACAUAAAGAUGACUACUUCUUCUGUAAAGU